GACCUCAGAUCAGGCAAGG
rnacentral:rRNA from 3 species